UUUAACAAAAUGAUGUGACCUUAGUUCCCCUACACACACACACACACACACACACGCACACACAGAGUGCCUUAACUAUUUCCAGCAUAUAUUGUGUUUCAAUGAAAAGAGUUGUCCCCUCACACAUGGUGAUAUGUGGUACCAAUACGACAAUUAAAUCACAGAAAGUGAGUAAAUACAUUUGCUUAUUGCUGACAAUGGCGAGGAAGACGUUAGAGUGAAGGGUAGAGGAAAGCGGCGUUGUAGUCGGGGGGCGGGGAGCUCCCAUCAUCGGAACUCCAGUCGUGUGGAAAGAUGGCCGUCUGGUUGCCGUGGAAACAUGAUCUGCACAGGAAGUGUUUCACUGAAGGUGAGGAAAAUGUUGACAAUCAUCUUUUUUUUAUAACCUGCUGAGCUUGUUGUUGUUGUCGUCCCACGGCAGACGUUUGAGCUCCUCUGAUGGAAGGACCAUGCCGCUGUCGCUCUGCUCCUCCUGAACAUCCACAGAUUGGUGAGUGUCGUCCUCACAGGGAACCUGGAAGGUGUGCAGCGUGGCCACAGCCCGCAUGUAACUACACAAGACAAAGUGAUUGAGUCCCUCCAAGCUGACCUGCUGCACCAUGGACUGGAGCAUGUCGCCCAGGGUCUGCACCAACUGGCAGAAGGAGGGUCGCUCGCUGGCCUCGGCAUCCCAGCAGGCCAGCAUUGUGCUCUGUGCUGUACUCCGGCGCUCUCAUCCUGGUUCCUGCUUUCAGUCUGUGGCAGAAGUCCUCGUCGAUGUGGAGACCGGGGUACGGGGACGCUCCUAGUGGACACCCGUGGCGUUACAUGCACCAACUGCACAGGACUCCCCGGGGAGUGAGAGCUCUUACCCAGAGAGAAGAUCUCCCAGAGGAGAACGCCAAAGGACCACACGUCACUUUGUGUGGUGAACACCUUGUCAAAGAUGGACUCUGGAGACAUCCACUUCAGAGGCAGGCGGGCCUGUCAGCCAAUCAGAGCACAGUGACAAGGUGCUGGGAGAGAUGUACAGAGUGAACCCUCUUGAAAAGCGAGAGGCAAAGAAGGGACAUUUAUGGAAAAGAAGAAAAGCUGCGAGCUGUGGAAGUAUUCAAGUUUAAAAAGGAAUCCUACUUCAUGAACAUUAAUUACCCACAACCAAUGAGAUGCGCUGAACGAAGGAUUACUGCAAAUGUACUCACGUCUCCCUUGCGGACGUAGUCCGGGUCUUUGUAGAUGUCUCUGGCCAGUCCAAAGUCACAGAUCUUCACCACGUGAUUGUCUGACAGGAGGACAUUGCGUGCCGCCAGGUCUCUGUGUAUACACUGCAGGCCACGUCGGAAAAUAAACGUCACACGAACGCAAACAUCUCUUCAAGUCAUCACUGUGUCCUUCAGUCGCCAAAACUAAUUACUGUAU